CACGUAGGGUGCGAGCGUUUGUCCGGAAUUAUUGGGCGUAAAGAGCUCGUAGGCGGUGUGUCGCGUCGGCCGUGAAAACCUGCAGCUUAACUGUGGGCUUGCGGUCGAUACGGGCAUCACUGGAGUUCGGCAGGGGAGACUGGAAUUCCUGGUGUAGCGGUGAAAUGCGCAGAUAUCAGGAGGAACACCGGUGGCGAAGGCGGGUCUCUGGGCCGAUACUGACGUGGAGGAGCGAA
rnacentral:rRNA from 1 species